rnacentral:rRNA from 1 species
UACGUAGGGUCCGAGCGUUGUCCGGAAUUACUGGGCGUAAAGAGCUCGUAGGUGGUUUGUCGCGUUGUUCGUGAAAACUCACAGCUCAACUGUGGGCGUGCGGGCGAUACGGGCAGACUAGAGUACUGCAGGGGAGACUGGAAUUCCUGGUGUAGCGGUGGAAUGCGCAGAUAUCGGGAGGAACACCAGUAGCGAAGGCGGCACUCUGGGCCGGUACUGACGCUGAGGAGCGAAAGCGUGGGGAGCGAACAGG